rnacentral:misc_RNA from 1 species
UUUCUUUUAUCAAUUAUUAUGUUAUCGUGCGUCCUUCUGAGAAAACUAACAUUUAAGUAAGUUAUCAUAAUUAAUUAGGAACGCUUAAAAUUUUGAGGCAAAUUUCACUUAAGCUUUAUUUGGAGUAAAUGAAGGCUUCUUGUUUGAAUAUCCUCUUGUUUCGAUUUGAUAUUUCAAUUUCAUUAUCCUUAAUUCGCUUUUUUGGAGCAGAUACAUUUUUACGAGUUGACCUAUAGGAACGUGACUAGUACAUAUAAUCGUCGAUUAUAUUUAUCUUGACGUAAUGCCAGGCAUGGGAGAAAUAUUACACUAAAGUAUAUAUACACAUGGCAACGAUUGUGUGCCAUGCAAAACGUCUAUUUUCGCUUUAAAAAAAAAAACUUUUACUAUGUCAUGAAAAAAGAAAUAACUUUUACUAUGUCGUGAAACUCGUCUCGACUCAUUUCAAUCAUCACUACAGUCGCAUUUGUUCGAACUUCUGUUGGCUGUCUCGCUUCUGCAGACAGAUAAAUAUGCCGAAUAAACAAAUGAGAUAUUCUUUUAAACAUAAAUAAGCAGCCUUGUCGAAAAGAAAUGGGUCAUGUAAAAUGCUAGCCUGAGGAUAUAAUCCUUGAGCAUUGGUGGAAAAUCGGUGGAGGCGGUCGAACGGGCGAGGGAUAGCACGGCAUGUGCCUACAGCGCUUAUCACAGCACCAAAGAUAUCUCGGCGAGCGCGCGCGGUCACCGGGAGGACUUGUCGAUUGCCAUGCGAGUGCUCGGCUCCGG